AAAAUCUGCCUAUCAGAGGGGAAUAACAGUGAGAAAUCACUGCUAAUACCGCAUAUGCCAUAGGAGUCGCAUGACUCUAGUGGGAAAGGAGCAAUCCGCUGAUAGAUGAGCUUGCGUCUGAUUAGCUAGUUGGUGGGGUAACGGCCUACCAAGGCGACGAUCAGUAGCCGGACUGAGAGGUUGAACGGCCACAUUGGGACUGAGAUACGGCCCGGACUCCUACGGAAGGCAGCAG
rnacentral:rRNA from 1 species